rnacentral:rRNA from 1 species
AUGGCCACUGCAGCAGGCAGCGAGGAGCCCGAGCCCAAGCCUACGCUACGAGCUGCGAUCCUUGCUAUCAUCCUCACACUAUGCGUCGGCGGUCUGAUACUAGGGCUUCAAAAGUGGGACUCAAGCAUUCACCUUGAUCCCAGUUAUUCCGUCAGACUGACGGAGGUGCACGGCCUCGACCCAGCGCGCAGCCCGGUGAUCCGCCCCGACUUCAACCUCGAGCUGCGUGUCGACAACAAGGGCGUCGACAGGACCUGCAAGGAGGAGAUCACGGUCACCGUGUUCUACGGCGACAUGGUUGUCGGAUGGGCGGAUGUGCCGGACUUCUGCGUCGGCAAGCAGUCAUCGACGGACGUGAAUGUCAAGCUGUCUCACACGGACGUGCUGCUGACCGACACGUUGCGCCGCCGCUUGGCGUCGGAGCUGCGAUCGGGGGAGUUGGAGUUCGUGGUGGAGAUGAGGAUGGUCAUACCCGUGGGAUCUGAUCGGGAGUGCGCUGAUGAUUAUUGCACGUCGAGGCAGUCUUUCCUACACUGCCGUGCAAAGCCUGGCCAAGACUAUGUACACCGUGAUCUACUCCCAACGCGAAGAGUCUAG